rnacentral:rRNA from 1 species
ACUCAAAGGAAUAGACGGGGGCCCGCACAAGCGGUGGAGCAUGGGGAUUAAUUCGUCACUAACCGAAGAACCUUACCCAGGCUUGACAUCCGCGGCAAGUCCGUGAAAGCGGUACCCUCCGCCCGCAAGGGCGGACCGCGAGACAGGUGUUGCAUGGCUGUCGUCAGCUCGUGUCGUGAGAUGUUGGGUUAAGUCCCGCAACGAGCGCAACCCUCACCCCAUGUUGCCAGCGUCAAGUCGGGCACUCUUGGGGAACUGCCCGGGUAACCGGGAGGAAGGUGGGGAUGACGUCAAGUCGGCAUGGCCCUGACGCCUGGGGCUUCACCCAUGCUACAAUGGGCGCGACAAAGGGAUGCGAGCCCGCGAGGGGGAGCCAAUCCCAUAAACGCGUUCUCAGUUCGGAUUGCAGGCUGCAACUCGCCUGCAUGAAGGCGGAAUCGCUAGUAACCGCCGGUCAGCUAAACGGCGGUGAAUACGUUCCCGGGCCUUGCACACACCGCCCGU